GCAAGGUGACCGUUUGGAUGCUAAGAUCAACAAAGCUGAAAAAGAAAUCUUUGCUCUAGAAAACACCUUGCAAGUGUUGAACAGCUGCAACAGAAAUUACAAACAAUCUUUUAAGAAAGUGACUCCUUCCAGUAUGUAGAAGUUACUUAUAUGUAUGUAACUAUAGUGGAAGCUGAAUAUUUACUUAAGAGGAGGAAUAUUAAUGAAACAUGGAGAGCAAAAUAUACCAUGUUUCACUGGAUCAGAAAAGCUCAACUACCCUUCCCUUUCCCUUUUAGUGUUAUUGGUAUGUGGCAUAUCACUUCCUUGGGAAUUGAUUUUAAGUUUAAAAAAAAUUGUAGCAUGUUGCUCCUGUAUAUUAACCAAAGAAGAAAUGGCUACUACAUUCCUCAGGUGAUGAGUAUCACUUAAAAACUCAACUAGAAGAACAAAGAAGAGCUGCAGAUGAAAAAUACAGAUAUAAACAGAGACAAAUUAGAGAACUUGAAGAAGACAUUCGGAGCAUGGAAAACACUUUACAACUUACAGAAUAUUUAGCAAAUAAGGCCAAAGAAAAAUUAUCAGAAAAGCAAGCUCUUGCAGCUCACCUACAUAAAGAAACUGAGGAGCAGAAGCCAAAAUUACAGAGAGUGACUAAACAGUGUGCAAAACUCACAAAAAACAUACGUCUUUUGAAACAAACAAAAGAUGAAACGCCAGAAGAACAAGACAUUAAACUUCGUGAAGUAAAGCAAUUUCAUAAAGUCAUUGAUGAAAUGUUAGCUGACUGUAUAGAAGAAAAUGCUGCUAUCCGUUUUACCCUUUCAAACAUACUUCAAGCAGUAAUCUAUACAGUAUUUUUUUUUUUUUUUGGUAUUGGGAAUUGA
rnacentral:lncRNA from 1 species